UACGGAGGGUGCGAGCGUUGUCCGGAAUCACUGGGCGUAAAGGGCGCGUAGGUGGCGCGGGCAGUCAACGGUGAAGGUUCGGGGCUCAACCCUGAAUCGGCCGUCGAUACUCCCGGGCUGGAGCACUGUAGAGGCUAAUGGAAUUCCGGGUGUAGCGGUGGAAUGCGUAGAGAUCCGGAAGAACACCGGUGGCGAAGGCGGUUAGCUGGGCAGUUGCUGACACUGAGGCGCGACAGCGUGGGGAGCAAACAGG
rnacentral:rRNA from 1 species